GACGUCAAGUCAUCCGUGGCCCUUAUGUCCAGGGCUACACACGUGCUACAAUGGUCGGUACAGAGGGUCGCCAGCCAGCGAUGGUGAGCUAAUCCCAAAAAACCGGCCUCAGUACAGAUAGAAGUCUGCAACUCGACUUCUUGAAGUCGGAAUCGCUAGUAAUCGCUAAUCAGCAGGUAGCGGUGAAUACGUUCCCGGGCCUU
rnacentral:rRNA from 1 species